AGUCAAGUAAUUAAGUGCAUGUGGUGGAUGCCUUGGCAGUCAGAGGCGAUGAAAGACGUGAUAGCCUGCGAAAAGCUCCGGGGAGGCGGCAAAUAUCCUUUGAUCCGGAGAUGUCUGAAUGGGGGAACCCACCUACUUUAAGGUAGGUAUUGCAACAUGAAUACAUAGUGUUGCAAGGCGAACGAGGGGAAGUGAAACAUCUCAGUACCCUUAGGAAAAGAAAUCAAUUGAGAUUCCCUCAGUAGCGGCGAGCGAACGGGGAUCAGCCCAUUAAGUUAUGUGUUUUUAGUGGAACGCUCUGGGAAGUGCGAACGUAGAGGGUGAUAUUCCCGUACACGAAAGGGCACACAUAAUGAUGACGAGUAGGGCGAGGCACGUGAAACCUUGUCUGAAUAUGGGGGGACCAUCCUCCAAGGCUAAAUACUCCUGACUGACCGAUAGUGAACCAGUACCGUGAGGGAAAGGCGAAAAGAACCCCUGUGAGGGGAGUGAAAUAGAUCCUGAAACCGCAUGCAUACAAGCAGUGGGAGCACCUUCGUGGUGUGACUGCGUACCUUUUGUAUAAUGGGUCAGCGACUUAUAUUCAGUAGCGAGGUUAACCGUAUAGGGGAGCCGUAGAGAAAUCGAGUCUUAAUAGGGCGUUUAGUUGCUGGGUAUAGACCCGAAACCAGGCGAUCUAUCCAUGAGCAGGUUGAAGGUUGGGUAACACUAACUGGAGGACCGAACCCACUGUCGUUGAAAAGCCAGGGGAUGACUUGUGGAUAGGGGUGAAAGGCUAAUCAAGCCUGGUGAUAGCUGGUUCUCCCCGAAAGCUAUUUAGGUAGCGCCUCGGACGAAUACCAUAGGGGGUAGAGCACUGUUUCGGCUAGGGGGUCAUCCCGACUUACCAAACCGAUGCAAACUCCGAAUACCUAUGAGUACUAUCCGGGAGACAGACUGCGGGUGCUAACGUCCGUAGUCAAGAGGAAAACAAUCCAGACCGCCAGCUAAGGCCCCAAAAUCAUAGUUAAGUGGGAAACGAUGUGGGAAGGCAUAGACAGCUAGGAGGUUGGCUUAGAAGCAGCCACCCUUUAAAGAAAGCGUAAUAGCUCACUAGUCGAGUCGGCCUGCGCGGAAGAUGUAACGGGGCUAAAACUAUGUGCCGAAGCUGCGGAUGUAUACUUUGUAUAAGUGGUAGGGGAGCGUUCUGUAAGCCGAUGAAGGUGUGUUGAGAAGCAUGCUGGAGGUAUCAGAAGUGCGAAUGCUGACGUGAGUAACGACAAAACGGGUGAAAAACCCGUUCGCCGAAAGACCAAGGGUUCCAGUCCAACGUUAAUCGGGGCUGGGUGAGUCGACCCCUAAGGCGAGGCCGAAAGGCGUAGUCGAUGGGAAAAUGGUUAAUAUUCCAUUACUUCUGUGUAAUGCGAUGAGAGGACGGAGAAGGCUAAAUCAGCCUGGCGUUGGUUGUCCAGGUGAAAGGAUGUAGGCAUGUAUCUUAGGCAAAUCCGGGGUACUCUAUGCUGAGAUCUGAUAGCAAGCUGUACUUGUACAGCGAAGUGGUUGAUGCCAUGCUUCCAGGAAAAGUCUCUAAGCUUCAGUUACACAGGAAUCGUACCCGAAACCGACACAGGUGGUCAGGUCGAGUAGACCAAGGCGCUUGAGAGAACUCUGCUGAAGGAACUAGGCAAAAUGGUACCGUAACUUCGGGAGAAGGUACGCUGUUGUUGGUGAUGGAACUCGCUUCCUGAGCUGACGACAGCCGCAGAAACCAGGCCGCUGCAACUGUUUAUUAAAAACAUAGCACUCUGCAAACACGAAAGUGGACGUAUAGGGUGUGAUGCCUGCCCGGUGCUGGAAGGUUAAUUGAUGGGGUUAGCGUAAGCGAAGCUCUUGAUCGAAGCCCCAGUAAACGGCGGCCGUAACUAUAACGGUCCUAAGGUAGCGAAAUUCCUUGUCGGGUAAGUUCCGACCUGCACGAAUGGCAUAAUGAUGGCGGCGCUGUCUCCAGCAGAGGCUCAGUGAAAUCGAAAUCGCUGUGAAGAUGCAGUGUACCCGCGGCUAGACGGAAAGACCCCGUGAACCUUUACUGCAGCUUGACACUGAACUUUGACCUUACUUGUGUAGGAUAGGUGGGAGGCUUUGAAGCUGGAACGCUAGUUCCAGUGGAGCCGUCCUUGAAAUACCACCCUGGUAAUGUUGAGGUUCUAACUCUGUCCCGUGAUCCGGGACGAGGACCGUGUCUGGUGGGUAGUUUGACUGGGGCGGUCUCCUCCUAAAGAGUAACGGAGGAGUACGAAGGUGCGCUCAGCGUGGUCGGAAAUCACGCGUAGAGUAUAAAGGCAAAAGCGCGCUUAACUGCGAGACCCACAAGUCGAGCAGGUACGAAAGUAGGUCUUAGUGAUCCGGUGGUUCUGUAUGGAAGGGCCAUCGCUCAACGGAUAAAAGGUACUCUGGGGAUAACAGGCUGAUACCGCCCAAGAGUUCAUAUCGACGGCGGUGUUUGGCACCUCGAUGUCGGCUCAUCUCAUCCUGGGGCUGAAGCAGGUCCCAAGGGUAUGGCUGUUCGCCAUUUAAAGAGGUACGCGAGCUGGGUUUAGAACGUCGUGAGACAGUUCGGUCCCUAUCUACCGUGGGCGCUGGAAAUUUGAGAGGAUCUGCUCCUAGUACGAGAGGACCAGAGUGGACGAACCUCUGGUGUACCGGUUGUGACGCCAGUCGCAUCGCCGGGUAGCUAUGUUCGGAAGGGAUAACCGCUGAAAGCAUCUAAGCGGGAAGCCUACCUCAAGAUAAGAUUUCCCUAGGACUUUAUGUCCUCUAAAGAGCCGUUCGAGACUAGGACGUUGAUAGGUUGGAUGUGGAAGCAUAGUGAUAUGUGAAGCUGACCAAUACUAAUUGCUCGUGAGGCUUGACUAU
rnacentral:rRNA from 1 species